rnacentral:lncRNA from 1 species
CUACAAUUGAUUUAUCAUUGUGAUGAUUCCUUGCCGUCGCGAUACCCGGAGCAGUACCUUACACUCGUGUCCGUAUGUGACAAGCUGCAUUCCUGCCUGC